rnacentral:rRNA from 1 species
ACGAACGCUGGCGGCGUGCUUAACACAUGCAAGUCGAACGGAAAGGCCUCUUUCGGGGGGUACUCGAGUGGCGAACGGGUGAGUAACACGUGAGUAACCUGCCCUUGACUUUGGGAUAACUUCAGGAAACUGGGGCUAAUACCGGAUAGGAGCUCCUGCUGCAUGGUGGGGGUUGGAAAGUUUCGGCGGUUGGGGAUGGACUCGCGGCUUAUCAGCUUGUUGGUGGGGUAGUGGCUUACCAAGGCUUUGACGGGCAGCCGGCCUGAGAGGGUGACCGGCCACAUUGGGACUGAGAUACGGCCCAGACUCCUACGGGAGGCAGCAGUGGGGAAUAUUGCACAAUGGGUGGAAGCCUGAUGCAGCAACGCCGUGUGCGGGAUGACGGCCCUCGGGUUGUAAACCGCUUUCGCUCAUGACGAAGCUUUGUGUGACGGUAGUGGGUAAAGAAGCACCGGCUAACUACGUG